GAUAAGAACGUAGCGAAAUGCGAUACGUAAUGUGAAUUGCAAAUUCAGUGAAUCAUCGAGUCUUUGAACGCACAUUGCGCCCCCUGGUAUUCCGGGGGGCAUGCCUGUCCGAGCGUCAUUGCUGCCCUCAAGCACGGCUUGUGUGUUGGGCCCCGUCCUCCGAUUCCGGGGGACGGGCCCGAAAGGCAGCGGCGGCACCGCGUCCGGUCCUCGAGCGUAUGGGGCUUUGUCACCCGCUCUGUAGGCCCGGCCGGCGCUUGCCGAUCAACCCAAAUUUUUAUCCAGGUUGACCUCGGAUCAGGUAGGGAUACCCGCUGAACUUAAGCAUAUCAAUAAGCGGAGGA
rnacentral:misc_RNA from 1 species